rnacentral:rRNA from 1 species
GCAGAACGCGAAGAACCUUACCCAGGUUUGACAUGCAAAGGACAGAGUUAGAGAUAGCUUCUCCCGCAAGGGUCUUUGCACAGGUGCUGCAUGGCUGUCGUCAGCUCGUGCCGUGAGGUGUUGGGUUAAGUCCCGCAACGAGCGCAACCCUUAUCGUUAGUUGCCAGCACGUGAUGGUGGGAACUCUAACGAGACUGCCCGGGUGAACCGGGAGGAAGGUGAGGAUGACGUCAAGUCCGCAUGGCCCUUAUGUCUGGGGCUACACACGUGCUACAAUGGUCGGUACAGAAGGCAGCAAAACCGCAAGGUGUAGCAAAUCCUGUAAAGCCGGCCCCAGUUCAGAUUGUAGUCUGCAACUCGACUACAUGAAGUUGGAAUUGCUAGUAAUGGCGCGUCAGCUACAGCGCCGUGAAUACGUUCCCGGGUCUUGUACACACCG